rnacentral:lncRNA from 1 species
CUGCCCGGCCCGCCAGGAGGCUGCAGGUGCAGACCAUCCCGGACAAGUGUACGCAGAUCCUUGGGGUGCACACACCUCACCGCAGGUGCAAGUGGGGCGCAGCCACAGGGUAGCAGGCUGUCGCCGGCUGGGCAGGGGACCUGGGCAGACACGGGGACCUGGUCAAGCAGAGGACCCGGCAAGCAGGGGAUAUGAGCAGACGCGAAGACCCGGACAGGUGCAGACCGGGCUAAUCACCCAGCCAGUCCCUCCGGCCAGGAACCCAGUGCGGGGCCCCAGCCGGGCACUUACUCAACGCGGCGGUCCCAACCAGGAGCCGAGGCCUGGAGGGCGGCGGGACGGAGCAGCCAGGAACCUCCGAACCACCAGCCCAGCCGGCGCAGCUCCUGCGCGUGCGCAAGUCGUAUUCGGGCCUAAGAUCUGCCCCGGGUUUUGCCGGAGACCUGGAGCCUGAGAGGGAGGCGGGGAGGAGGGUGGAGGGAGGAGGGACUAGAGGGAGAGGGUGGGACUGGAAGAAUGGGACUGGUGGAUAAGGAAGGACGUGGACGAUCAGGAAGGGAGAUGGGAGGAGCCAGAGGAGGAGCGUAGAGCACGAAACUACUAAGGGAGGUGCCUAUGGUGGGAACUGCCAGUCCUCCACUCUGGGCUGGAUUUGCGCUUCUCUGGUGGCACACAGACGAGACCCUAGUUUCAACCUCACUAAGCCAGGCUAUAUUGCCCUCAGGAGACUUGGCGUCCCAACCACGACCUACAACCCCCCCUUACAGGUUGGGAAAGCUGGUUUUUCUGUGUGAGAGAGAGAAGGGGGAGAGAAAGAGAUGGAGGUCUGUGUGCCAGGAGCCAGACUCACGCUUAGCACUGUGCAUCACAGAUCCUCACCAUAGAGCUAUGCUGCACAUCGGGGUACAGAAAAGAUGCACCACUUGGCUGGGAACAUGCCAAGGAGUGGAGAAUCUAUUUAACUGCCUUAUUCAGCAUCACCAAGAAGCCCCUAGAUUAGACCUUCAGAACUCUUCCCUCAAAACAUCGUAAUUAUAGAACUGGAGAUAUGGCUCAGUCAGCAAAGUGCUUGUGUCACAAGAAUGAGGAACUGAGUUUGGAUCUAGCACCACAUCAAAAAUAGGCAUGGGAGGGGCUGGAGAGAUGGCUCAGAGGUUAAGAGCACUGACUGCUGUUCCAGAGGUUCUGGGUUCAAUUCCCAGCAUCCACAUGGUGGCUCACAACCAUCUAUAAUGAGAUCUGAUGCCUUCUUCUAGUGUGCAGAAGCACAUGGAAGCAGAAUGUUGUAUACAUAAUAAAUAAAAUCUUUAAAAAAAAUAGCCA